AGUAGACGUUUAAAAUAGGUUUAUUUGUAGAUCUAAAAUAGACCAGAAAUAGACGUCUAAAAUAGGUUGAUUUUUAGAUCUAAAAUAGGUUGAUAUAAAGACCUAAAGUAGACGAUUUAUAGACCAGAAAUAGAGGUCUAAAAUAGGUUGAUUUUUAGAUCUAAAAUAGGUUGAUAUAUAGACCUAAAAUAGACACCUAAAUUAGGUUGAUUUAUAGACCCUUAGGUUGAUUUAUAGACCUAAAGUAGACGUUUAAAAUAGGUUUAUUUAUAGAUCUAAAAUAGGUUGAUUUAUAGACCAGAAAUAGACGUCUAAAAUAGGUUGGUUUUUUAGAUCUAAAAGAGGUUGAUAUGUUGGAGCCAAUUUAGUUACCUUAGAUUAAAUUCUUACUUUUGUUUAAGAUUCGCUGGCCUUGGGCCAUGGACCGUUAUUUGACAAAGCAUUUGGUCACCUGAUCAGUCACCUGAUCAGGGAAAUAAAUAGGCUGCUCCCACUUGGUAGUUAGUCUCAGUUAGACAAGGAAGGAAGACAGUAGUGACAUAGUUUUUUACCGCUAAAAAGCCCGCUUCAAGCUACUUCAAGUUUGCCCCAGGCUUGUAGCUCUUGGAAUUUAGGAACCAAACUUUAGUUUACUUCUUUGAACCCUUUAUGUUGAAACCUUAGUUGAUUUACAAACGAUUUGGAUUUGUACCUGUGUGCCACCUGUUUGCCUGCCUGCCAUUCCCUCUCCCCCCUAUCCUUGCGUGGCCUACCACCUUUGCCUGCCUGCCAUCGCCUCUCUACCUCGGCCUGCAUGCCUGCUUGCCUCCAUUUGGACAUUCUACCUCCACCUUCAAAAGGGCAUCCAGACAUACUGCAUAUUCAAAGGACAGCUGAUGGAAUCACAGACCACAAGGGGAACCCCAGUGGAUCUGAGAUGGCAAUAAAUAGUGGAUUGGUCUCACUGGAAAAUGGAAACAUUGGAUCCAGUGACGAUCACUGCACCUUAGCUAUUGUACCCGUUCAAGUGAAGCUGAGUAAGUCCAACCAUGUUGUCCAGACGUAUGCAUUCCUUGAUCCAGGCAGCUCCGCCACAUUUUGCACUGAGAGUCUCCGACGACGUCUAAAUGCAAGAGGAAGAAAUCACAGGAUCCUUUUGCGAACUAUGGGUCAAGAGAAACCCACCGACAGCAUCGUCGUCAGCGGCUUAGAAGUAAGCAGUCUGGAAGGGAAAUUGUUCUAUGGACUGCCUGAUGUUUACACACAGAAAGAAAUCCCAGUCAGCAAAGGCCACAUACCAAAGCAGAAGGAUGUGAAGAAAUGGCCACACUUGAAGGAUGUAUUUCUGCCUACCAUUGAUGCUGACAUCGAUCUCUUGAUUGGAACAAAUGUGCCCAAACUCAUGGAGCCAUGGAGGGUGAUUAAUAGUAACGGCAAUGGACCUUUUGCAACCAAAACCCUGCUGGGCUGGGUUGUCAGUGGUCUCCUCCAUGAUGAGCACACAAGUCUGAGUAAGCAAGGCAAGACAUAUGUUUACACCAAUAGGAUUUCUGUGGAAAUUGUACGUGACCUUCUGGUGCAGCAACUCAACCAUGACUUUCCGGAGAGUACAUAUGAAAAGGAAGAAAUGUCUCAAGAGGAUCUGAGAUUUCUAAACAUAAUGAACACCUCAGUCAAAGUACAAGAUGGACACUACCAAUUGCCGCUGCCAUUUAAAGGACAUCCCAGAAUGCCCAACAACCGUAUGAUGGCAGCACAGAGGGCUGAGCCUUUGAGGCGCAAGUUUGGAAGGAACACCAUUUUUUGGGAAGAAUACACAUUGUUCAUGAACACCAUGGUGAAAUGUGGACAUGCUGAACUCGUCCCAAACCAGGAAGAGCCACAGAAUGGCAAAGGCUGGUACAUACCCCACCAUGGAGUACGUCAUCCCAAAAAAGGAAACUUGCGAGUGGUUUUUGAUUGCUCCGCAUCUUACCAAGGAACAUCUCUCAACAAUGAACUCUUGAAGGGCCCAAAUCUUGCAAACUCCUUAAUUGGUGUCCUGCUACGUUUCUGCCACGGGAAUGUAGCCAUACUGGCAGAUGUGGAGAAGAUGUAUCAUCAGGUAAAGAUACCACCAGAGCAUGUUGACUUUUUGCGCUUCUUGUGGUGGGAGGAUGGCAACACGUCUCAGCCUCUCAUGCAAUACAGGAUGACAGUGCACAUCUUUGGCGCAACAUCAUCAGCCAGUUGUGCCAGUUAUGCCUUAAAGAGGACAGCUGAGGAUAACAAAGGAAGCUUUUCAGCUGAAGCAGUGAACACAGUCCUCAACAACUUCUAUGUUGAUGAUUUGCUGAAGUCUGUGGAUACAGAGACCGAUGCCAUUCAACUGUGCAAGGAGUUGAAAGCUCUGUGUGCAGCAGGAGGUUUCAAUCUCACCAAGUGGUCCAGUAACAGCCGAAACGUCUUGGUCCACAUUCCUGAAUGUGAAAGGGCUAAGGGAGUGAAGGACUUGGACCUAGACCUGGACGACCUGCCACUAGAAAGGACCCUUGGUGUGCACUGGAGUGCAGAAGAUGAUGUCUUCAAAUUCCACGUGGCUCUCAAAGAGCAACCAUGCACCAGGCGAGGCAUCCUGUCCACGGUUAGUUCAAUCUAUGACCCGCUAGGAUUUCUUGCCCCAGUGACUUUCCCAGCAAAACAUCUGUUGCAGGAACUUUGCAAGCUGAACCUUACCUGGGACGAAGACAUACCGAACACUCAUGCACAAUCCUGGAAACGUUGGCUGCAUAGCCUUCGGACUCUUAACGCCUUCAACAUCACCCGCAGUUUCAAACCAAAGAACUUUGGAAAAGUUGAACAUGCACAAUUGCACCACUUUUGCGAUGCAAGUGAAGUAGGAUAUGGCAUGGUGACGUAUCUGAGGUUGGUCAGCAGUAAGGAGCAGGUACAUGUGAAGUUUGUGAUAGGGAAAUCAAGAGUGGCACCGUUGAAAUUUAUGACAAUCCCACGUCUGGAGCUGACUGCUGCAGUGCUGGCAGUUCGUGUAGAAGGGAUGCUCGUAGAGGAAUUAAAAAUGGACUUGGAACCAGCCGUGUUUUGGACAGACAGUACGACAGUGUUGAAAUACAUAAAGAAUGACAAUAGACGAUUUCACACAUUUGUUGCAAAUCGUGUAAAUACAAUCAGAAGCAGGUCUGAUGUAUUACAGUGGAAACACAUUCCUGGAAAAUUGAACCCAGCAGACUAUGCAUCCCGCGGAUUAAACACUGCAGACUUUCUGAAAGGCAACAACUGGAUCAAUGGUCCCAAAUUCCUGAAAGACUUAACCCAGCACUGGCCCAACGUACCUGUCGACCUUGCUAUUCCUCCAGAUGACUCAGAAUUGAGAAGAGAAGUUCAAGUACAUGCCACGUUAGCCAGUACCCAUGAUCCAACUAGUGUGUUGCUGAAUUACUUCUCCACUUGGAAUAAACUCAGAAGAGCCGUUGCCUGGUUCCUGAAGCUGAGGAGUUUGCUCACACAAUGUGUUCUCAAAAGAAAGGGGGCCUCAAAGGCAGACAUGGCUGGCCCUAAGACACUCUCUGUUCAAGACCUGGAAGAGGCAGAAGAAGCCAUUGUGAAGUUCUGCCAAAAUCAAGGAUUUCCACAGGAGAUGGCAUGCUUGCACAACGGAAGGAAUGUCAACCGGAAAAGCUCCAUCUUCAGACUGGACCCAGUCCUUGACCAUGGCUUAUUGAGGGUUGGUGGUCGCCUGAGCAGGAUGGCUAUGCCAGAGGUACCGAAACAUCCAGCUAUCUUGCCUAAAAGGCAUCACGUUUCUGAGCUUCUGCUUCAACACAUUCAUCAGCAAGUUGGCCAUUGUGGCAGAAAUCACAUCUUGGCAAGUUUAAGGCAAAAAUAUUGGAUUCCUUGUGCAAAUUCUCUUGCAAGGGAAAUUGUGAACAAUUGUGUCCCCUGCAGGCGGAACUUUGCACGUGCAGGUGAACAAAAGAUGGCCGAUCUGCCAAUUGAUCGUUUGGCCCCUGACCUCCCUCCAUUCUCACAUGUUGGAGUGGAUUACUUUGGACCAAUAGAGGUGAGAAGAGGGCGUGGCAUGGCAAAACGUUAUGGCGUGCUAUUUACUUGCCUGACUACUAGAGCAGUCCAUUUGGAAGUAGCACACUCAUUGGAUACAGACUCUUGCGUGAAUGCGUUUAGGCGCUUCAUAGCCAGAAGAGGCCAAGUGAAAGAAUUAAGGUCGGACAAUGGAACUAACUUGAUCUCUGCUGAAAAGGAGCUACGGGAAGCACUGAAACGAUGGAACAUGGAUCAAAUUGAGCGUAGUCUUAUCCAGAAAGGUGUCAAGUGGACGUUCAAUCCUCCAGCUGGUGCACACCAUGGAGGCAUCUGGGAGCGCAUAAUAAGAAUGGUGAAAAGGAUAUUAUCCUCCAUCACAAACCAGCAGUCUUUGGAUGAUGAAGGUUUAGUAACAGUAAUGUGCGAGGUUGAAUCCAUCCUGAACAGCCGUCCUUUGACAACCGUUUCCAGUGACCCUAAUGACUUGGAACCACUGACGCCUAAUCACCUACUGCAGCUAAAGGUCCAGCCCGUGCUUCCACCAGGAACAUUCAAACAGGAAGACUUGUACGCCCGAAGGCGAUGGCGGCAAACACAGUAUAUCGCAGAUCUUUUCUGGACACGGUGGAUACGGGAAUAUGUUCCACUCAUGCAAGAACGAUCCAAAUGGUCCCGCAUCAGGCCCAACUUUGGUGUGGGAGACAUUGUUGUGAUAGCUGAUCCUACAGCACCGCGAGGCUCAUGGGUGAUCGGAAGAGUAAUCGAAGCCAUAGCAGAUUACAAGGGCCUUGUUCGUUCUGUGAGACUGCAAACGAGAACCAACCAGCUCUUACGGCCCAUCAGCAAGAUCUACCUGUUGGUAAAAGCCAACAACCAACAUUGAACAAAGACUGCGCAUGUGCUUACAUUUGCAUCACAUUCAUACACUGAUACUUACACACAUUUGUAGUAUAAUUGGACGUAAAUUUAAAAUUAGAAUUAAGAAAUUAACAUUGUUUAUUUUUUGAAAAUUGCCCCCAUUGUGAAUAUUUUGUUAUAGCCACACGUGGUAGCUAUAAGGGGCCGGAUAUGUUGGAGCCAAUUUAGUUACCUUAGAUUAAAUUCUUACUUUUGUUUAAGAUUCGCUGGCCUUGGGCCAUGGACCGUUAUUUGACAAAGCAUUUGGUCACCUGAUCAGUCACCUGAUCAGGGAAAUAAAUAGGCUGCUCCCACUUGGUAGUUAGUCUCAGUUAGACAAGGAAGGAAGACAGUAGUGACAUAGUUUUUUACCGCUAAAAAGCCCGCUUCAAGCUACUUCAAGUUUGCCCCAGGCUUGUAGCUCUUGGAAUUUAGGAACCAAACUUUAGUUUACUUCUUUGAACCCUUUAUGUUGAAACCUUAGUUGAUUUACAAACGAUUUGGAUUUGUACCUGUGUGCCACCUGUUUGCCUGCCUGCCAUUCCCUCUCCCCCCUAUCCUUGCGUGGCCUACCACCUUUGCCUGCCUGCCAUCGCCUCUCUACCUCGGCCUGCAUGCCUGCUUGCCUCCAUUUGGACAUUCUACCUCCACCUUCAAAAGGACGUCGUCGGAGACUCUCAGUGCAAAAUGUGGCGGAGCUGCCUGGAUCAAGGAAUGCAUACGUCUGGACAACAUGGUUGGACUUACUCAGCUUCACUUGAACGGAUGCUUGGCCUGAACAAAACAGUGUCAGUGGCGUCUUGGGCUUUUGAUGAAGGCAGCAUGUGGCCACGUUUGAUUCCAGUGGCCACUUUGACAGUUUGGAGGCUGUCUGAAGUGAGAUCAGAGACGCAAGAGGGCCCGGAGAAGCAGACGUCCAGCCGGGGGAGAAGAUCAGAGCGGACAUUGUGAAGUACACAGCGUUACUGGCUCCUGCAACUUUUCCCUUUGUAUAUAUAUAUAUAUUUUUUUUGUCAAAUAUAUAUUUAGUAGCACCUUUCUCUGCAGCUCUCAUGGUUCAAAUAAAGAACUGUGAGGGUUUUAUCUGAUUUUAACCAAAGAGCCCUGGCAAGUUGUAAGACACUAUUAUUUUUUUUAAUUUAUAAGCUAAAUCUUCUGAGCUCAAGGAACUUUGUUGCCGUUUCAAACGACGUUUUGGCUCCAGCUAGGCAAGAACACGCCACAACGCAGGAUGAUGACCUUAAGUAGUACAAGAAAGGACUUGUUUUAUUUAUGCAUACCAACAAAGAACAAUAAGCUCGAAACCAGAGUUGUCAAACUCGUUUCCACUGCGGGAAUUAACCAUCUGUUCAAAAAUGACCGUUUCCUGCACCAAACCAAACUGCUUGUUUAAUUAAUACUAACUUGUUUCGUUUACAAUUAAUAAUAAAUAACAUAUUUCAUUCCAUUAAAGACCCAAACGCAA